GCAGUCGAGCGAGCAGAACCAGCAGAUUUACUUCGGUAAUGACGCUGGGGACGCGAGCGGCGGAUGGGUGAGUAACACGUGGGGAACCUGCCCCAUAGUCUGGGAUACCACUUGGAAACAGGUGCUAAUACCGGAUAAGAAAGCAGAUCGCAUGAUCAGCUUAUAAAAGGCGGCGUAAGCUGUCGCUAUGGGAUGGCCCCGCGGUGCAUUAGCUAGUUGGUAAGGUAACGGCUUACCAAGGCAAUGAUGCAUAGCCGAGUUGAGAGACUGAUCGGCCACAUUGGGACUGAGACACGGCCCAAACUCCUACGGGAGGCAGCAGUAGGGAAUCUUCCACAAUGGACGCAAGUCUGAUGGAGCAACGCCGCGUGAGUGAAGAAGGUUUUCGGAUCGUAAAGCUCUGUUGUUGGUGAAGAAGGAUAGAGGUAGUAACUGGCCUUUAUUUGACGGUAAUCAACCAGAAAGUCACGGCUAACUACGUGCCAGCAGCCGCGGUAAUACGUAGGUGGCAAGCGUUGUCCGGAUUUAUUGGGCGUAAAGCGAGCGCAGGCGGAAGAAUAAGUCUGAUGUGAAAGCCCUCGGCUUAACCGAGGAACUGCAUCGGAAACUGUUUUUCUUGAGUGCAGAAGAGGAGAGUGGAAUUCCAUGUGUAGCGGUGGAAUGCGUAGAUAUAUGG
rnacentral:rRNA from 1 species